rnacentral:rRNA from 1 species
GAUGAACGCUGGCGGCGUGCCUAAUACAUGCAAGUCGAGCGAACAGACGAGGAGCUUGCUCCUCUGACGUUAGCGGCGGACGGGUGAGUAACACGUGGAUAACCUACCUAUAAGACUGGGAUAACUUCGGGAAACCGGAGCUAAUACCGGAUAAUAUAUUGAACCGCAUGGUUCAAUAGUGAAAGACGGUUUUGCUGUCACUUAUAGAUGGAUCCGCGCCGCAUUAGCUAGUUGGUAAGGUAACGGCUUACCAAGGCGACGAUGCGUAGCCGACCUGAGAGGGUGAUCGGCCACAUUGGAACUGAGACACGGUCCAGACUCCUACGGAAGGCAGCAGUAGGGAAUCUUCCGCAAUGGGCGAAAGCCUGACGGAGCAACGCCGCGUGAGUGAUGAAGGUCUUCGGAUCGUAAAACUCUGUUAUUAGGGAAGAACAAAUGUGUAAGUAACUAUGCACGUCUUGACGGUACCUAAUCAGAAAGCUACGGCUAACUACGUG